GAUCCUGGCUCAGGAUGAACGCUAGCUACAGGCUUAACACAUGCAAGUCGAGGGGCAGCAUGGUCUUAGCUUGCUAAGGCCGAUGGCGACCGGCGCACGGGUGAGUAACGCGUAUCCAACCUGCCUUACACUCUUGGACAGCCUUCUGAAAGGGAGAUUAAUACAAGAUGUUAUCAUGAGUAAGCAUUUUCGCAUGAUCUAAAGGUUUACCGGUGUAAGAGUGGGAUG
rnacentral:rRNA from 1 species